UACAGAGGGUGCAAACGUUGCUCGGAAUUACUGGGCGUAAAGCGCGUGUAGGCGGUCGGCUAAGUCGAGGGUGAAAGCCCAUGGCUCAACCAUGGAAGUGCAGUUGAUACUGGCUGGCUAGAGUCCGGAAGAGGUGGGUGGAAUUCCUAGUGUAGAGGUGAAAUUCGUAGAUAUUAGGAAGAACACCGGUGGCGAAGGCGGCCCACUGGACAGGAACUGACGCUGAGGUGCGAAAGCGUGGGGAGCAAACAGG
rnacentral:rRNA from 1 species